AGCGGAAACAUGGACAGCCUGAACACACUGUAAGCUAGCUCGGUGAUGUUACUAGACAUUCUUCGGUAGAGAGGCUAUUCCACAUGAGAUUAGAUAAUAAGGAACAAAACUACACAAACCAGACAGAUUCCAGCCUGCCCCCUACAACAAUAGGAAACCGUACGCCUUUGCCAGAGACAGGACACAAUCUUUGAUAUACCAAACAUAGGACACUAGCUGGGACGUGGAAAACCCCCACAAGUCCUGACAAAGGUGAUGGAUCCUACAAUAUAUCGCACCUACACACCAACCAUAGCAUCUAUGGUGAUCGAUAAUUUGUUACCAUGGACAUAGUCAACGAUUAUUCUCCACCUCCUAAUACAAUUAGUAUAUACCACACCCAUUCGCCAGCUUUUCUGAAUGACGUCACCAAAGUGAUUAUUUUAUUUUUUGACGACAACAACAAUAACAACAACAACCACCAAUAAAAAUGAAAUAAAAUUUAUAAAAUAAAAAUAUAAAACAGUC